rnacentral:misc_RNA from 1 species
GGCGUGCGGGCCGCGUGGGAGCAGUAGGCGGACAGACGAGGAGUGAAACGAGGUUCAUCGCACGGGAGCGAGUGCGUGGGAGUGCUGGGCGAACGCGGGAGAGGCAUGCGCAGGACAAGCGAGAUUCAAAUUGGCGCGUGGGAACGCCAGGCGCCCGCGGGAAGCCAGGGGCAUGGAAACGAGGUUUAAACUGGCGCGCGGGAACGACAGGUGCGCGUGGGCAAAUGAGGUUCACCCGCCGAAGGUUCUGGAAGCGCCUGGAGAGCGCGGGGCACGCGCACGGGCUGCUAGCCUGCCCAAACGAGGUUCACUCGCGCUAACAGCCCGCCAAUACGAGGUUCCAUGCUAGUUUUCUGCCAGUCUGCCCAAAUUCGAAUUUUGGCCGCCCAAACCACUCCAACUCGGCAUGAAGGCUAUAAAUAGGG